GAAUAUUGGACAAUGGGCGAAAGCCUGAUCCAGCCAUGCCGCGUGUGUGAAGAAGGUCUUCGGAUUGUAAAGCACUUUAAGUUGGGAGGAAGGGCAGUAAGUUAAUACCUUGCUGGUUUGACGUUACCGACAGAAUACGCCCCGGCUAACUCAGUGCCAGCAGCCGCGGUAAUACGAAGGGUGCAAGCGUUAAUCGGAAUUACUGGGCGUAAAGCGCGCGUAGGAGGUUUGUUAAGUUGGAUGUGAAAGCCCCGGGCUCAACCUGGGAACUGCAUCCAAAACUGGCAAGCUAGAGUACGGUAGAGGGUGGUGGAAUUUCCUGUGUAGCGGUGAAAUGCGUAGAUAUAGGAAGGAACACCAGUGGCGAAGGCGACCACCUGGACUGAUACUGACACUGAGGUGCGGAAGCGUGGGGAGCAAACAGG
rnacentral:rRNA from 1 species